AAUUUAAAAUUUAAAAUCAAAAUUUUGAAUAUGAUUUUAAAUUUAAAUUCAGAUUUUAAAUUUAAAAUUCGGUUUCAAAACUUUUAUUUUAAAUGUAAAUUGAAAUAUCAAAAUCAAAAUCAAAAUCAAAAUUUUAAGUUUGAAUUGAAAAUUUAGAUUCAAUUAAAAAUUUAAAUUUAUAAUUUGAAUUUCAAUUCAAAAUUUUAAUUCAGUUUUAAAUUCAAAUUCAAAAUUCGAAUUUCUCGUAAGUUUAAAAUUUUAAUUUUAAUAUUAUUUUUGAAUUUAAAUUUUAAAUUUUAAAUUUUUAUUUUUAGAGACUAAAAUGAAAAACGUACAAAGUUUAGGGACCUAAAUUAACAUGUAAAAGGAUGCCAAAUAGGCGCUGAUGUGGCGAUUCCGUUAAUUUUAAUAGUUUUUUUAACGGUUGGUACGUAAUUAUAAUAAAAUCAAAAAAUUAGAGACUCAAUUGUAAAAAAAAAAAAGGUUGGAGAUUCAAGUGAAAAUUAGUGCAAAGGUUGGAGACUAUGGUGUAAUUAAUU
rnacentral:lncRNA from 1 species